rnacentral:rRNA from 1 species
GACGAACGCUGGCGGCGUGCUUAACACAUGCAAGUCGAACGGAAAGGCCCUGCUUUUGUGGGGUGCUCGAGUGGCGAACGGGUGAGUAACACGAGAGUAACCUGACCUUCACUUUGGGAUAGCUUCAGGAAACUGGGGCUAAUACCAGAUAGGAGCUCCUGCUUCAUGGUGGGGGUGGGAAAGGUGCUGCGGCUGGGGCUGGUCGCGCGGGUUGUCAGCUGGUUGGUGGGGUAGUGGCUUAUGAAGGCUUCGACGGGUAGCCGGCCUGAGGGGGUGAGCGGCCACGUUGGGACUGAGACACGGCCCAGACUCGUACGGGAGGCAGCAGUGGGGAAUAUUGUGCUGUGGGCGGGAGCCGGAUGCAGCAACGCCGCGUGCGGGGUGACGGCCUUCGGGUUGUAAACCGCGUCCGCCUGUGACGAAGCGUGAGUGACGGUAAUGGGUAAAGAAGCACCGGCUAACUACGUG